UAGUUCAGUCGGUAGAACGGCGGACUGUUAAUCCGUAUGUCACUGGUUCGAGUCC
rnacentral:tRNA from 13 species